rnacentral:tRNA from 1 species
GGGUCUCUAGCUCAGUGGUAGAGCAGCUGACUGCAGAUCAGUAGGUCUCCGGUUCAAACCCGGAGAGGGGCCCU